rnacentral:rRNA from 1 species
CCUACGGGGGGCAGCAAUUAGGAAUCUUGCGCAAUGGGGGAAACCCUGACGCAGCGACGCCGCGUGUGGGAUGACGGCCUUCGGGUUGUAAACCACUUUUGCCAGGGAAGCGGUACCUGGUGAAUAAGCCCCGGCUAACUACGUGCCAGCAGCCGCGGUAAUACGUAGGGGGCGAGCGUUGUCCGAAGUUACUGGGCGUAAAGCGCGCGUAGGCGGUUUCUUAAGUCUGAGGUGAAAGGUUAACGCUUAACGUGAACAGUGCCUUGGAUACUGGGAGACUUGAGUGUGGCAGAGGAUAGUGGAAUUCCUGGUGUAGCGGUGAAAUGCGUAGAUAUCAGGAGGAACACCCAUGGCGAAGGCAGCUAUCUGGGCUAAACUGACGCUGAGGUGCGAAAGCGUGGGGAGCGAACGGGAUUAGAUACCCUGGUAGUC